GGGUUUCCCUGCUAUGUUUUGUCACACAUCAUUGCUGGGAGAGUUCAGUGCUAUCCAAGUGACUCCCCCGGGAGAGGACAACUGGAAAUUUAUGCCUGGUGUCUUCCUGGACUCCGACCUAUGCACCUUUUUCCUUGGAUGAUUUUAACCUGUCUCCUUUUGCUGCAAUGAACCAUAACCAUGAGUAUAUCAGCUUUUCUAAUUUUUGUGAGUCCCUCAAGUGAAUUAUCAAACCUAAGGUAGUUUUGGGACCCCCAUCACAGAGAGUCAAACAGGGGCAGGGCAAGAAGAGCUGCUUUUCCUGGAAGGCUAAUGAGUCUGAACUUCGCCCUGGAGGUAAUCGUUAUAGUAACUCCAGGCUCUAACCUGGAGCUGACAUGAUAAGGUCAAAUGUACACCUCUAGAAGACUUCCGACUGCAGAGGGGAAUGGAUGGGGGAGCUGAGGGAGGAGAGCUGAAGCAGGAAGACCAUGGCCUGGAAAGAGAUGGCUGAACCAGUCCAGAAUCACAAGAAAGGCAUCAGCACCUUCUGUGAAAUGGGGAGCCAUGCAGAGGAGGUGCCCAGGUGGCGAGGAGUCCAUGUCAGCUGCCGUCAUCCACACCACAGAUCAGACAUGGCAAAGAGUGGCCAGGCCUUCUGAGUGAAGGUGAUCCAACCUGUCACCAAGCCUAAGGGCAAAUCCUGGCUGUGCUGUGAUGGCUCCAACAACCCCAAACAGCAGCGCAGAGGCUGCAGCCGCCCUCGGAGGCAACACUGGGAAACGCUCAUUAGCAGCCUUCCAUUGCUCACCCGCCCCAUCCCACCUCUGUGCAUCCCAGAUCAUCAGCGAAGUGCACAGCUGGCUUCCAUCCUCGGAGCCUUCCUCCUUCAUUUGCCUAUUCAACAGUUACAAAGGCCUGAGUUGCAAAGGGGCUUACAACCCAUUCCACCCAGAAGAAAGAGAACUGAGACUGAGCAAGACAGAGAAUAGGUGGAAGGGGAGAUGAAACCAAGCAAUCUCUAGAUCCCAAAUGGGGACCCUGAUGUAGCAAGAGCCUCUUUUAAAUCCUUUUCCAAUAGGGUAAUAUGGAAAAUAGUUGAAAGCACAAGCCAAGUGGGGCUGGAAUCCCAAAUGGGCCAUUUACUAGCUGUGUGACUGGACAAGUAAUUUCAUAUUUCUGGGCCUCGAUUUUUCUCAUCUGUAAAAUAGAAAAAAAAAAA
rnacentral:lncRNA from 1 species